GGGCCCGUAACUCAGUCUGGCAGAGUGGUUGGCUCUUAACCAAUUUGUCGCGGGUUCAAAUCCCGUCGGGCCCGC
rnacentral:tRNA from 2 species